UAUGUGCCUUUUUGUGAUCUGUAUUAGCCGGAGCCACGUCGUUUCAUCUCACUGUGUAUUCGUAUACUGUUGAGAUGAGAAUAAAGUUUACUUUGACUUUGAUUCUUCUUUGACCCUGGUGCCAUUAAAAGAGGUGCAAUAACCACACAAAGGCAUGUCGUAACCCUCCCAUUAACAUGCCAGUAGCAGUGAAAGUAA